rnacentral:rRNA from 1 species
UACAGAGGGGGCAAGCGUUGUUCGGAAUUACUGGGCGUAAAGGGCGCGUAGGCGGCCUGCUAAGUCGAACGUGAAAUCCCCGAGCUCAACUCGGGAACUGCGUCCGAUACUGACAGGCUUGAAUCCGGGAGAGGGAUGCGGAAUUCCAGGUGUAGCGGUGAAAUGCGUAGAUAUAUGGAGGAACACCGAUGGCGAAGGCAGCCCCCUGGGAUGUGACUGACGCUCAUGUACGAAAGCGUGGGGAGCAAACAGG